rnacentral:rRNA from 1 species
UACGAAGGGGGCUAGCGUUGCUCGGAAGCACUGGGAGUAAAGGGUGCGUAGGCGGGUAUUUAAGUCAGGGGUGAAAUCCUGGAGCUCAACUCCAGAACUGCCUUUGAUACUGAAGAUCUUGAGUUCGGGAGAGGUGAGUGGAACUGCGAGUGUAGAGGUGAAAUUCGUAGAUAUUCGCAAGAACACCAGUGGCGAAGGCGGCUCACUGGCCCGAUACUGACGCUGAGGUGCGAAAGCGUGGGGAGCAAACAGG